rnacentral:rRNA from 1 species
GCUACCAUGCAGUCGAACGGCAGCACAGGACACUUGCUCUCUGGGUGGCGAGUGGGGGACGGGUGAGGAAUACAUCUGAAUCUACUUUUUCGUGGGGGAUAACGUAGGGAAACUUAUACUAAUACCGCACACCACCUACAGGUGAGAGAACGGGAUCUUCUGACCUUGCGCGAUUGAAUGAGCCGAUGUCGGAUUAUCUAGUUGGCGGGGUAAAGGCCCACCACGGCGACAAUCCGUACCUGGUCUGAGAGGAUGAUCACCCACACUGAAACUGAGACACGGUCCCUACUCCUACGGGAGGCGGCAAUGGGGAAUAUUGGGCAAUGGGCGCGAGCCUGAUCCACCCCUACCGCGUGGGUGAAAAAAGGCUUCUGGUUGUAAAGCCCUUUUGUUGAGAAAAAAAUCCCUCUGGCUAAUACCUGGUGGGGAUGACGGUACACAAAGAAUAAGCACCGGCUAUAUUCGUGCCCCCAGCCGCGGUAAUACGAAGAGGGCAAGCGUUACUCUCAAUUACUGGGCGUAAAGCGUGCGUAGG